AGUUGACAGACACACACUGGCAGGGCCUCCGGCUGAUCCUUAGCAAUCCUUGCAUGUGACAUUUAGGAGAGCAAUGACGGCUUCUGCCCGGCCUUUGCAGGGCGCUUGUGUGUGAGUGAAGACGAGUGACGGGGAUGAACUAUCUUUGCUGAAAAGGUUAGCGGAUGUGCAUCAGCAUGGAAAAACAAUCCAGGACAUCAUCUCACCCAAACACCACACAGAGAGCCACAACAUCGCUUGAGAUUAACCCUGAGCUCUACAGUCACCUUGAGCGGAGAGGCUCAUGGGAGGUAAUUGUGCUCUGACAGAGUCUGUGGCGCUACAGGCGAGGAUCCCCCUCCACACUCUCCCAUACGCACACAAAUAUACAGAUCACUCGCCUGUCAUUAAAGCCUGAAGCAAGAGCCCCCUUAGGGACAGAGAUGGAUGAGGUGUCAGUCCUGAACCUGUCCACAGAGACACAGGAACCUGUCAACCUAACCAAACCGCUCCACAGCCAACCAUUAGAGCUUCACACAUGGCCCACAGCUGCCCGUCAUCCGCUCCGGCUGGGCUUCAGAAAGCUCGCGGCUCGCCGGAGCCUCUCAUUCAGGAAGAGCUGAGCGGCUGAUAGGCCCGGACAAAAGAAUUGGCUCCACAAAAGUGAGCCAUCAGGGAGGACAAUAGGAAGCCAAUUCAUCAAUUUCAAGAGCAGCUUCACCUUUAGUGCAGUUUAAGGUACUGUAAAUUUACAAGAAACGAAGGAGUUCUGGGAGACAUAGUCUAAGAGACAUGUAAAGACUUGGAGAGAUGUAUGGUGCUCGCUGGCACAAUGCUUUCACCGAUACCUCUUUGUCUGGCUGUACUGCUAUAUUUGUAACCCCAUUACAAAAAUGUGUAACUAGGUUUUUGCAUUCUGGAAAAUCAUUAAAACAAACUGAA